rnacentral:tRNA from 1 species
UCUGCAACUUAGUUUAUUUAGAAUGAUCAACUUGCACUUGAUAGGAGAGGUAUCUCAGUAGC